CCCUCUUUCUUCUAGAGCAAUCAUCGUCAUCUUCACCACUUAUUAAGGAUCAAUUAGAUGUUGAUCAAUCAGUACAGAAAUGAAUACAAAUAUAUACAAAUAUAUGUGAUUCGAAUAAAGGAAGAUGGUGACGUUGGUUGUGGCCUGAAGAGAAACGACGACGAAGAAUGGUUGAUUUAGGGUUCUUCAGUUCGGGUAAUGUGAUGGUUGAUUUAGGGAUUCUGAAACCGAAGAUGGUGAUGGUGGCCUGGAAAGGAACGAUGACAACGGCAUGUGUUGAUUUAGUGUUUCUCAAGUGGUGGUCUUAUGAUGGUUGUUGUUUAACGCAAAGACGGAAGGGCGGCGGCUAGGGUUCCACCACAUAACUUUGACCAGUUGUGGUUUCCGCCGGUUAUCGGUAGAUCAACCAGGAAUGAUAUUGUACGAGUUAUGCGAUUUGUUUGGAAUGUACAUGAUAGAUGAAACAAGUUAUGGACCAAAUCAUGUUGCUCUUGCUGGCCAAAAGAGUUCCAGUAACAAAGACCAAUCUUUGUACGCGUUGGUCGGGGUGACCAGAACCACUUAUGAGUUAUUUUCAAUAACUGGUUGUGGUAUUGAUAUCGGUAUUUAAAGAAAACUUUGACUGAGGAAUGUAUGCUUGCCUAAUUUGGUUGUUUGGAAGAGGGGAGAGUGAGUUUUCUGUUGGUAUAAGGCUAGCCUUGGUUCAACAGGAUUAAGACAGUUUGACUUAUAAGAAGUUAACCCAAAGUAGAAGUUGAAGAAUAUCAUGUUGGGGCAUCAUGAGGCAAAGGUAAAGUAUUAAUAUUAAAGCUCCAACAUAAUGAUGAUGCUGCUGCUCAAGUCUAUGGUCGAACUACAUAACCUGUGGAAAAGCAUAUGAAUAACUCUAUAAGUGUGUUUGUAUCUCACAACUUAAAUUAUCAUUUUCUCUAUAAUAUUUAUCUUCAUCUUACUGUAUAAAUGACAUUGUUAAUAAUAAACUUGGAAUAAAACGCUUAUGACACUGUU
rnacentral:lncRNA from 1 species